GUCAAGGUGGUGGAGUGGUUAACACGUUCGCCUGCUAUUUCCGAUUCUCGGGUAGCUGUUCAGCGGAUGCCUUCGGGCGCGCAGGUUCGAAUCCUGUCCUUGACG